rnacentral:tRNA from 1 species
UCCUUGGUGGUCUAGUGGUUAAGAAUCUGCCUUCCAGUGCAGGAGAUGCAGGUUCAAUCCCUGGUCAGGGAA